UACGGGGGGGGCAAGCGUUGUUCGGAAUUACUGGGCGUAAAGGGCUCGUAGGCGGCCAACUAAGUCAGACGUGAAAUCCCUCGGCUUAACCGGGGAACUGCGUCUGAUACUGGAUGGCUUGAGUUUGGGAGAGGGAUGCGGAAUUCCAGGUGUAGCGGUGAAAUGCGUAGAUAUCUGGAGGAACACCGGUGGCGAAGGCGGCGACCUGGGUCGACACUGACGCUGAGGCGCGAAAGCGUGGGGAGCAAACAGG
rnacentral:rRNA from 1 species